GAAAUGCGAUAAGUAAUGUGAAUUGCAGAAUUCAGUGAAUCAUCGAAUCUUUGAACGCACCUUGCGCUCCUUGGUAUUCCGAGGAGCAUGCCUGUUUGAGUGUCAUUAAUAUAUAUCAACCUUCUUCUUGUUGAGAGGUGUUUGGAUGUGGGGGUUUGCUGGCCUCUUAAAAAGGUUCAGCUCCUCUGAAAUGCAUUAGCAGAACAACCCGUUCAUUGGCGUGAUAACUAUCUACGCUAUUGAAUGUGAUGGGGCAGUUCAGCUUUCUAACAGUCUUUGGACAAUUCAUCAUUAAUGUGACCUCAAAUCAGGUAGGACUACCCGCUGAACUUAA
rnacentral:misc_RNA from 1 species